rnacentral:misc_RNA from 1 species
GAUGAAGAACGCAGCGAAAUGCGAUAAGUAAUGUGAAUUGCAGAAUUCAGUGAAUCAUCGAAUCUUUGAACGCACAUUGCGCCCCCUGGUAUUCCGGGGGGCAUGCCUGUUCGAGCGUCAUUUCACCACUCAAGCCUCGCUUGGUAUUGGGCAACGCGGUCCGCCGCGUGCCUCAAAUCGACCGGCUGGGUCUUCUGUCCCCUAAGCGUUGUGGAAACUAUUCGCUAAAGGGUGCUCGGGAGGCUACGCCGUAAAACAAACCCAUUUCUAAGGUUGACCUCGGAUCAGGUAGGGAUACCCGCUGAACUUAAGCAUAUCAAUAAGCGAGGA